AACCAGCUCUUCAAGUGGUCGGGACUUUUAUUGGGCUUAAAGUGUCCGUAGCCGGUUUGGUAAGUUCCUGGUUAAAUCUGGCAGCUUAACUGUCAGUCGGCUAGGAAUACUGCCUUACUAGAGGGUGGGAAAGGUUUGGGGUACUCCAGGGGUAGCGGUGAAAUGCGAUAAUCCUUGGGGGACCACCAGUGGCGAAGGCGCCAGACUGGAACACGCCUGACGGUGAGGGACGAAAGCCAGGGGAGCGAACGGGAUUAGAUACCCCGGUAGUCCUGGCUGUAAACGAUGCGUGCUAGGUGUUGGUAGGGCUAUGAGCCGUAUCAGUGCCGUAGGGAAACUGUUAAGCGCGCCGCCUGGGAAGUACGCUCGCAAGAGUGAAACUUAAAGGAAUUGGCGGGGGAGCACCACAAGGGGUGAAGCCUGCGGUUC
rnacentral:rRNA from 1 species